rnacentral:lncRNA from 1 species
AAAAGGAAGACCUGUACUCAUGAGCUUAUGUCACAAUAACAUCAGUGUGGCUCUUUCAAAAUAGAGAAUAAGGCAAAGUCUUCUGCUAGCUUAUUGACACCAACUCAUUGGGCACUUCUCUUCCCCUCCAAAUAACAGCCCAAUAUUUUUAUUUUAAUUUUUGGUUUUAUUUCUAAUAAACACACUUUUAUUUUAUCUAUUUAUGAGAUAGUUUGAUGUUUUAAUAUCUAUAUAUUGUGGAAUGAUUAUAUCAAGUUAAUUAACAUAUCUAUUACCUCACAUCCUUAUUAUUUUGUAUAGUGAGAACAUUUAAAAUCUAUUCUUUAGAAAUUUUGAAGUAUACAUUAUUAUUAACUACGGUCACUGUGUGCUGCAAUGGGUCUUGUAAACUUAUUCCUUCUAACAGAAACUUUGUUCGUUUUGAUCAAUAUCUUCCUUACUACCCCCCACACCCUGACCUAGACUCUUCUAACCACCUUUCUCUCUCUACUUCUAUAAAUUCACCUCUUGUAGAUUUCACAUAUAAGUGAAAUCAUGCAAUAUUUGUCUUUCUGUGUCUGGCUUAUUUCACUUAGUGUAAGGUUCUCCAGAUUCAAUCAUGUUGUCACCAAUGAUGGAAUCUCCAAAGACUGAAAAGUAUUCCAUUGUGUAUAUAUACCACAUUUUCUUUAUCCAUUCAUUCAUUCCUAGACACUAAGGUUGAAUCCAUGUCUUGGUUAUUGUGAAUAAUGCUUUCUGCCUAAAUAGUCAAUAUGCCCUGCUCAGUGACCAAAAUAUUAAGCAAAUAUGGAGAAGAUACCUGGUAAAAGAAUUUUUUGCUGUCCUAUCUUUAAUAGAUAUCCAAAACACAUUCUAGCUUGACUAAAAGUGAGGAUUGACUGGAUAUUCAGAGUUUGUUCUUACUCUAACAGUGCGUUAUCUGUUUUAUGGCCAUAGAUGUAUUUUGGGAUUAAGAGUUAAAGUAAGAAAUUGUAUAUAUGGGUUAGCAUUGGGUCCUAAAAACCAAGAGGAUGAGCCAACUCAAAAGCCUUUGGAACAAACAAACAAAAAAGUCUUCCAAGAGAGCAGAGACUUAAAAAAAAAAAACUCCCAUAAUCAUAGU